rnacentral:rRNA from 1 species
UACGAAGGGGGCUAGCGUUGCUCGGAAUGACUGGGCGUAAAGGGCGCGUAGGCGGCCGAUCAAGUCAGGGGUGAAAGCCUGUGGCUCAACCACAGAAUUGCCUUUGAUACUGUUCGGCUCGAGACCGGAAGAGGUAAGUGGAACUGCGAGUGUAGAGGUGAAAUUCGUAGAUAUUCGCAAGAACACCAGUGGCGAAGGCGGCUCACUGGCCCGGUACUGACGCUGAGGCACGAAAGCGUGGGGAGCAAACAGG